CGGGUUUUCGCUCCUCUUAUUCCAGGGGCUUUGUGAGGGGAGAGCUUCAUCCCCACCCCUCCAACUGAGGUUUCGGGGGCUCCGAGAGGCCCAAAAAAGUUCCCGAUUUCCCCUUUCUGUGGGAUUUGUGAGGGGAGGGCUUCACCCCCACCCCUCAAAUUGGCUUUCGGGGGGCUCUGAGAGGAUUUUUUUUGGAAGUUUGGGGUUUUUUUAGGAAGGAUUUUCAGCCGUUCGAGGGCUCCGCAAAGACGAGGAAGGGGCUUUAUUCGCCCACCAUCCCCCAAACUGUGACUUUGGGGUCCCACCCCCCUCAGUUCCUUUUUUUCUGGGGGAAUUUUGGGCUCCCUCUCUUGUCCCUGAGGGAACUUUGGGCGUCCCGCCCUCCAUUUCAAUUUUUCUCUUUUCGAGGGAUUUCGCGCUCCCGCCUUUUCUCCUGAGGGGAUUUUUCUCCUUUUGGCGGGGAUGGGCGGUGUCCCAAUCUUGACGGAGCCUCCCUAAAAUUCCCCUUUUUUUUCCCACUUUUCCCCCUGUUUCUGUUUGUUUUUGCAGCCCCGGCCAUGGCUCCGCGCCGCUCCCCCCGGCUCGACCCCUCGGGCUCCUCCUCGGGCUCCACUCCGGGCUCGGCAGCUCACAGCACCUCCUCCAGCGAGGAGCUCCGGACAGACCCCGCCUCCAGCUCGGGCAGCGACUUCGAGGCCUCUCUGCGCCCCCGGGGCAAGCGGGGCCCGCCCCGGGCAGCCUCCGGCAGCGCCGGAAUUCCCGUAAUUCCCCUCAAAUUCCCCUCAAAUUCCCCUCAAAUUCCCCUCAAAUUCCCCUCAAAUUCCCUCUUCCCUGCUGCUCCUUCCCCGCCCUCCCUGCUUUUCCCUGCCCUUUGCCCAGUUUCCCACAGUUUUCCUGGAUUUUCCCCGAUUUUCCCUGGUUUUUCCUGAAUUUCCCCCUGGUUUUUCCCAGAUUUCCCCCAGUUUUUUUCCCUAGAUUUCCCCAGUUUUUUUCCUAAUUUUCCCCUGGUUUUUUCCUAAUUUUCCCCAGUUUUUUUCCUAAUUUUCCCCUGGUUUUUUCCUAAUUUUCCCCAGUUUUUUUCCUAAUUUUCCCCUGGUUUUUUCCUAAUUUUCCCCAGUUUUUUUCCUAAUUUUCCCCUGGUUUUUUCCUAAUUUUCCCCAGUUUUUUUCCUAAUUUUCCCCUGGUUUUUUCCUAAUUUUCCCCAGUUUUUUUCCUAAUUUUCCCCUGGUUUUUUCCUAAUUUUCCCCAGUUUUUUUCCUAAUUUUCCCCUGGUUUUUUCCUAAUUUUCCCCUGAUUUUUUCCUAAUUUCCCCCAGUUUUUUUCCUAGAUUUUCUUCCAGUUUUUCCCAAUUUUUCCCCCAGUUUUCCCCCUGUUUUUUUCCUAGAUUUUCUUCCAGUUUUUCCAAGUUUUUCUCCCAGUUUUCCCCCCAGUUUCCCCCAGUUUUUCCCAGUUUUUCUCCCAGUUUUUCCCAGUUUUUCUCCCAGUUUUUCCCCCAGUUUUCCCCCAAAUCUUUCCCAGUUUUCUCCCCAGUUUGUCUCUGAUUUUCCCCUUACUUUCCCCCAGUUUUUCCCAAUUACUCCUGGAUUUUCCUCCCAUAUUUUUCCCAAUUUCCCCAGAUUUCCCACAGAUUUCCCCCAGAUUUCCCCAAAUUCCCCCAAUUUUCCCCAAAUCUCACCAUUUUUUCCCAGAUUUUCCCCUUAUUUUCCCCCAGUUUUUCCUAAUUUUCCUCUUGGAUUUUUCCAAUUUUUCCAGAUUUUCCCUGAUUUCCCCCCAAUUUUUCCUAAUUUCCCCCUGAUUCCCCCAGUUUCCCCCAGACUUUUCUCCAGUUUUCCCCAAUUACCCCUGGAUUUUUCUCAGUUUUCCUCAGGAUUUUUCCCAGAUUUUUCCCUGAUUUCCCCCUGAAUUUCCCCCAAAUUC
rnacentral:lncRNA from 12 species